GUAGUUGUGCAUCUUCCGAUCACGCUUCAGUGAGGGAAUUAAGGACGGCACAUUGUCCUUGUAACAGGGAUCCAGCAGGGUGGCCAACCAGUAAUCAGCACAAGGUAGAAUGUGGGCAACUCGGCAGUCGUUGCACAGGCACUUUGGUGACUCUAGAUAACCUCGGGCCGAUCGCACGUCCCUGUGACGGCGAUGACGCAUUCGGAUGUCUGCCCUAUCAACUUUCGAUGGUACUUUCUGCUCCUACCAUGGUGACCAUGGGUAACGGGGAAUCUUG